AUCGGGAGUGAGGUCUUUGGGUCCACCUCCCACCCGUGUUUAUUUUACCUUGUUGCUUCGGCGGGCCCGCCUUUACUGGCCGCCGGGGGGCUCACGCCCCCGGGCCCGCGCCCGCCGAAGACACCCCCGAACUCUGUCUGAAGAUUGAAGUCUGAGUGAAAAUAUAAAUUAUUUAAAACUUUCAACAACGGAUCUCUUGGUUCCGGCAUCGAUGAAGAACGCAGCGAAAUGCGAUACGUAAUGUGAAUUGCAAAUUCAGUGAAUCAUCGAGUCUUUGAACGCACAUUGCGCCCCCUGGUAUUCCGGGGGGCAUGCCUGUCCGAGCGUCAUUGCUGCCCUCAAGCCCGGCUUGUGUGUUGGGCCCCGUCCUCCGAUUCCGGGGGACGGGCCCGAAAGGCAGCGGCGGCACCGCGUCCGGUCCUCGAGCGUAUGGGGCUUUGUCACCCGCUCUGUAGGCCCGGCCGGCGCUUGCCGAUCAACCCAAAUUUUUAUCCAGGUUGACCUCGGAUCAGGUAGGGAUACCCGCUGAACUUAAGCAUAUCAAUAAGCGGAGGAA
rnacentral:rRNA from 1 species